rnacentral:rRNA from 1 species
GAUGAACGCUGGCGGCGUGCCUAAUACAUGCAAGUCGAGCGAACGGACGAGAUGCUUGCUUCUCUGAUGUUAGCGGCGGACGGGUGAGUAACACGUGGAUAACCUACCUAUAAGACUGGGAUAACUUCGGGAAACCGGAGCUAAUACCGGAUUAUAUUUUGAACCGCAUGGUUCAAAAGUGAAAGACGGUCUUGCUGUCACUUAUAGAUGGAGCCGCGCUGCAUUAGCUAGUUGGUAAGGUAACGGCUUACCAAGGCAACGACGCAUAGCCGACCUGAGAGGGUGAUCGGCCACACUGGAACUGAGACACGGUCCAGACUCCUACGGGAGGCAGCAGUAGGGAAUCUUCCGCAAUGGGCGAAAGCCUGACGGAGCAACGCCGCGUGAGUGAUGAAGGUCUUCGGAUCGUAAAACUCUGUUAUUAGGGAAGAACAUAUGUGUAAGUAACUGUGCACGUCUUGACGGUACCUAAACAGAAAGCCACGGCUAACUACGUG